GGGAGUUUCCGAUGCGGAUCUCGGCACCAUCAAUUCUUUUGUGGCAACAAUCUUUUCUGUUGGUGAUGGUGACAGUGUUAAUCUUAUAUGUCUUCAGGAGGUCCAGUCUCCACCAUGGCUUUCUUUGUCUACUUGUGUGGGUGCAGGAUCCUUGUCCAUAGAU